rnacentral:lncRNA from 1 species
GAGUUGAAUAGAGGUUAUUUAAGGAAGCUUGUUACGUUGAGAUGAAUCUGAAUCUGCGGCAAAAAGAUAAGGGUACUUGGUCCGCAUAUCUGCUUCUGCUUCCCAAGUAGCUCCCUCAACAGAUUGAUUUCGCCAAAGGACUUUGACCAAAGGAAUUUCUUUGUUCCUCAGUCUACAAAUCUGAUGGUCUAAAAUCUAGACUGGAAUUUCUUCAUAGAAAAGGUUUUUUUGA